UGUCCAUGGUCGGCAUUGGACGUUCAAGUAUAAAUAGCCGGGCAAAAGUCUCAAUUUGCAUCAGUUCCUCAACUGAACACCUCCAGCUAAUAUCUUUAAUCCACUCGAAAAUGAAUUUGAUGAUUUUUCUGGCUAUCUUAGCCGUUGCUAUUGCCACCGGGGUAAAUUCAAAAAAGGAAACCAACCAUUCAAGUUUCACCUGACCAAGAUGUCGCUGAAUUUUACCGUCGAGGAUUUUAUAGCGGACAUGGGGGCCACUGGCGCGGACGUCGAUCAGCUGAGGAAGCGAAAUCGGAAUUAGAGGCUGGCGUAGAAAUUGGCAAUGAUCAAGAAGCCGGCGAAUUUUAUACCAGUCGUUUUUAUGGUAAUUAUGGCCACCCUUCAUAUUACAGUCGAUAUGGGAGUUGGCGUGGUCGUCGCUCAGCCGGAGAAGCAAAACCGGAAGUAGAGCCCAACUUUGAAGUAAUUGCUGAUCAGGAAGCCAAUGAAUUUCGCCGUGGCUAUUACGGAGGUCACCACCACGGAUAUUGGCGUGGACGUAGGUCAGUUGACGAAAACGCUAAUACCCUUCAAAUCGAACCGGAUCAAGACACAAAUGAGAAUUUUAGACGCGGUUAUUACGGCCAUUCCUACGGUAGAUACGGAUCCUGGUACGGUAGACAUUGGUAGAGUGUGCCAUUUUAAAUAACUCCCCUCCAAGCAAGGCUUGUUCCUGAUGUACGUCCCCGCUAAACGAAACCUGAUUCACAACUGCAUUUACUAUUCGUUUUGGUCUUAAUUUCACAAUAAAUAAUUUUUUUUCCCGCUUGAA